GCUGGAGUGGUGAAAUUGGUAUACACGCCGGUCUCAAAAACCGGUGGCCUAAACAGCCGUGAGGGUUCGACUCCCUCCUCCAGCA
rnacentral:tRNA from 1 species